AGUGGCGGACGGGUGAGUAACGCGUGAGAAUCUGCCUUGGGGUCGGGGACAACCACUGGAAACGGUGGCUAAUACCGGAUAAGCCUAUUGGUAAAAGAUUUAUUGCCCGAAGAGGAGCUCGCGUCUGAUUAGCUAGUUGGUGAGGUAAGAGCUCACCAAGGCAGCGAUCAGUAGCUGGUCUGAGAGGACGAUCAGCCACACUGGGACUGAGACACGGCCCAGACUCCUACGGGAGGCAGCAGUGGGGAAUUUUCCGCAAUGGGCGAAAGCCUGACGGAGCAAGACCGCGUGAGGGAGGAAGGCUCUUGGGUUGUAAACCUCUUUUCUCAGGGAAGAAGCUCUGACGGUACCUGAGGAAUCAGCCUCGGCUAACUCCGUGCCAGCAGCCGCGGUAAUACGGAGGAGGCAAGCGUUAUCCGGAAUUAUUGGGCGUAAAGCGUCCGCAGGUGGCGAUUCAAGUCUGCUGUCAAAGCACGGGGCUUAACUCCGUAAAGGCAGUGGAAACUGAAUAGCUAGAGUGCCGUAGGGGUAGAGGGAAUUCCCGGUGUAGCGGUGAAAUGCGUAGAGAUCGGGAAGAACAUCGGUGGCGAAAGCGCUCUACUGGACGGCAACUGACACUCAGGGACGAAAGCUAGGGGAGCGAAUGGGAUUAGAUACCCC
rnacentral:rRNA from 1 species